UGUCCAGGGGCGGGAAUCGAACCCACAACCUUCUGCUUACCGGACAGGUGCCAUGUCCACUAGGCUAGCCUGGAC